rnacentral:tRNA from 1 species
GCUACUGUGGUGUAGUUGGUUAGCACGUACCCUUCACAUGGGUUAGGUCCCGGGUUCGAGCCCCGGCAGAAGCA